GGACGAACGCUGGCGGCGUGCCUAACACAUGCAAGUCGAACGAGGUCCACGGAGUGCUUGCACUCCCGAAGACCUAGUGGCGAACGGGUGAGUAACACGUGAGAAACCUGCCCCAGACUCUGGGAUAACCCAAGGAAACUUGAGCUAAUACCGGAUAUUCUCCUUCGGUCGCAUGGCUGAUGGAGGAAAGUUUUUCGGUCUGGGAGGGUCUCGCGGCCUAUCAGCUAGUUGGUGAGGUAACGGCUCACCAAGGCGACGACGGGUAGCUGGUUUGAGAGAACGAUCAGCCACACUGGAACUGAGACACGGUCCAGACUCCUACGGGAGGCAGCAGUGGGGAAUCUUGCGCAAUGGGCGAAAGCCUGACGCAGCAACGCCGCGUGCGGGAUGACGGCCCUCGGGUUGUAAACCGCUUUCAGCAGGGACGAAAAUGACGGUACCUGCAGAAGAAGCCCCGGCUAACUACGUGCCAGCAGCCGCGGUAAUACGUAGGGGGCAAGCGUUGUCCGGAUUUAUUGGGCGUAAAGAGCUCGUAGGCGGUUCCGUAAGUCGAGUGUGAAAAAUCUGGGCUCAACCCAGUGGAGCACUCGAUACUGCGGUGACUAGAGUACGGUAGAGGAGUGUGGAAUUCCUGGUGUAGCGGUGAAAUGCGCAGAUAUCAGGAGGAACACCAACGGCGAAGGCAGCACUCUGGGCCGGUACUGACGCUGAGGAGCGAAAGCGUGGGGAGCAAACAGGAUUAGAUACCCUGGUAGUCCACGCCGUAAACGUUGGGCACUAGGUGUGGGGAGGAAUCAACCCUUUCCGUGCCGUAGCUAACGCAUUAAGUGCCCCGCCUGGGGAGUACGGCCCGCAGGCUAAAACUCAAAG
rnacentral:rRNA from 1 species